rnacentral:rRNA from 1 species
GACGUAGGGAGCAAGCGUUGUCCGGAAUUACUGGGCGUAAAGAGCUCGUAGGCGGGAGCGUACGUCUGAAAGGAAAUCUCAGGGCUCAACUCUGGGGCUUUUUCAGAUACGGCGCUUCUUGAGUGUAACAGAGGAAAGCAGAAUUCCCGGUGUAGCGGUGAAAUGCGUAGAUAUCUGGAGGAAUACCGGUGGCGAAGGCGGCAUCCUGGACCAUUACUGACGCUGAGGCGCGAAGGCUAGGGGAGCAAACGGG